GGAUAAAGCCAUAGAGUCCUGAGCAACAUAGUUCCUCUUUAUCAGACUGUCCUACUAGUCAGCUUAGCACUUGGUGGGAAUGGCUGGUGUUUCUCAAGCCCGAUUCCUUUCUUUGGAAGAGGGGACACUGAGAUCUGCAGCAUGUAACUUACCAGGAUCUGUAAGCUCACCAGACCCACUGCCUCGGAGCAGAAGGAAACAGGGACCAUAGGAACAGUUACAGCUGGACUGGCAGCAGGAAGCCGAAGGUGGUGCUACAGGUUAGUGCUGGACCAUGCCCAGCUUGGCAGCCCACAGCACUUCCUCCACUCCUGUGUCAGCACGGCAAUGGCUCAUAAAAUGACAAGCACCUUCUACUUGGACUUUGCCAACUGGAACCAUCUGUCCUAUGAGCCAUGUCUACCCUGUGGUCUGCACACACCCUGGGAUAGCUAAGAAUCUGUGUAGCCCAACACAGAAGUUUGAACUUACUCAAAAUAUUAUGAGACUUGUUUUGUAUGUGAUGUUAUUGUUGUUACUUGACUGUACAGUUCUUGAAUGUGAACUUGCAAGUGACAUCAUGUUUUAGGGUUG